rnacentral:rRNA from 1 species
GUAGGGGGCGAGCGUUGUCCGGAAUUAUUGGGCGUAAAGAGCUCGUAGGCGGCUUAGUAAGUCGGCGGUGAAAUACCGAGGCUCAACCUCGGCACUGCCGUCGAUACUGCUAUGGCUAGAGUUUGGUAGAGGAGAACGGAAUUCCCGGUGUAGCGGUGGAAUGCGCAGAUAUCGGGAGGAACACCCGUAGCGAAGGCGGUUCUCUGGGCCAAUACUGACGCUGAGGAGCGAAAGCGUGGGGAGCAAACAGGAUUAGAUACCCUGGUAGUCCACGCUGUAAACGUUGGGCACUAGGUGUGGCGACCCGAUCAACGGUUGCCGUGCCGAAGCUAACGCAUUAAGUGCCCCGCCUGGGGAGUACGGCCGCAAGGCUA